rnacentral:rRNA from 1 species
GAUGAACGCUGGCGGCGUGCCUAAUACAUGCAAGUCGAGCGAACAGACGAGGCACUUGCUCCUCUGACGUUAGCGGCGGACGGGUGAGUAACACGUGGAUAACCUACCUAUAAGACUGGGAUAACUUCGGGAAACCGGAGCUAAUACCGGAUAAUCUAUUGAACCGCAUGGUUCAAUAGUGAAAGACGGUUUUGCUGUCACUUAUAGCUGGAUCCGCGCCGCAUUAGCUAGUUGGUAAGGUAACGGCUUACCAAGGCGACGAUGCGUAGCCGACCUGAGAGGGUGAUCGGCCACACUGGAACUGAGACACGGUCCAGACUCCUAAGGGAGGCAGCAGUAGGGAAUCUUCCGCAAUGGGCGAAAGCCUGACGGAGCAACGCCGCGUGAGUGAUGAAGGUCUUCGGAUCGUAAAACUCUGUUAUUAGGGAAGAACAAAUGUGUAAGUAACUAUGCACGUAUUGACGGUACCUAAUCAGAAAGCCACGGCUAACUACGUG